rnacentral:rRNA from 1 species
AGUGAACGCUGGCGGUAGGCCUAACACAUGCAAGUCGAACGGCAGCACAGUAAGAGCUUGCUCUUACGGGUGGCGAGUGGCGGACGGGUGAGGAAUACAUCGGAAUCUACCUUUUCGUGGGGGAUAACGUAGGGAAACUUACGCUAAUACCGCAUACGACCUACGGGUGAAAGCAGGGGAUCUUCGGACCUUGCGCGAUUGAAUGAGCCGAUGUCGGAUUAGCUAGUUGGCGGGGUAAAGGCCCACCAAGGCGACGAUGCGUAGCUGGUCAGAGAGGAUGAAUCGGCCACACGGGAACGAGACACGGGUCCGAACCCUAAGGGAGGGCAGCGGUGGGAAAUUUUGGAAAAGGGGGGAAGCCCGAACCAGGCCAGCCCGGUGGGUGAAAAAGGUCUUUGGGGUUUUAAACCCCUUUUUUGGGGAAAAAAAAACAGGGAGUUAACUCCCCGCUGUUUGAACGGAACCCAAAAAAAAGGCACCGGCAAACCCGUG